rnacentral:rRNA from 1 species
UACGUAGGGCGCAAGCGUUGUCCGGAAUCAUUGGGCGUAAAGCGCGCGUAGGCGGCCCGGUAAGUCCGUUGUGAAAGUCAAAGGCUCAACCUUUGAAUGCCGAUGGAUACUGCCGGGCUAGAGUCCGGAAGAGGCGAGUGGAAUUCCUGGUGUAGCGGUGGAAUGCGCAGAUAUCAGGAGGAACACCGAUAGCGAAGGCAGCUCGCUGGGACGGUACUGACGCUGAGGCGCGAAAGCGUGGGGAGCGAACAGG